rnacentral:rRNA from 1 species
GCGGUGCUCCAUAUCGACCUAGAGGAGCCUGUCCUAUAAUCGAUAAUCCACGUUUCACCCUACCACUUCUUGCAACUCAGCCUAUAUACCGCCGUCGUCAGCCUACCUUAUGAAAGAGACAGAGUAAGCAAAACAGUUAACAACUAAAACGUCAGGUCAAGGUGUAGCACAUGAAGUGGAAGAGAUGGGCUACACUUUCUACCCCAGAACACACGAACAGCACAAUGAAAUCAAUGCUCGAAGGCGGAUUUAGUAGUAAGAAAAACAAGAAACUUUUCCUGAAACUCGCUCUGGAGCGCGCACACACCGCCCGUCACCCUCAUCACAUUAACUUCCCACCUAAAAUAUAACAAUUUCACAAUAACAGAUGAGGAAAGUCGUAACAUGGUAAGCGCACCGGAAGGCGCGCUUGGAAUAACAAACAGUAGCUUAACACAAAGCAUUCAGCUUACAAUUGAAACAUGUUAGUGAGACUCUAACCUUUUUGA